rnacentral:piRNA from 1 species
AGACUUAGGAGAGGGCUGUGGCUAAAAC